rnacentral:rRNA from 1 species
GACAGAGGGUGCAAACGUUGUUCGGAAUUACUGGGCAUAAAGAGCACGUAGGUGGUGCGCUAAGUCACGUGUGAAAUCCCCCGGCUCAACCGGGGAAUGGCGCGUGAUACUGGCGGACUCGAGGCGGGUAGGGGUGAGCGGAGCUCCAGGUGGAGCGGUGAAAUGCGUAGAUAUCUGGAGGAACACCGGUGGCGAAAGCGGCCCACUGGACCUGAUCUGACACUGAGGUGCGAAAGCUAGGGUAGCAAACGGG